GCGGGUGUAGUUUAGUGGUAAAACUACAGCCUUCCAAGCUGUUGUCGCGAGUUCUAUUCUCGUCACCCGCU
rnacentral:tRNA from 1 species